AGUGGCAGACGGGUGAGUAACACGUGGGAACCUUCCCUAUAGUACGGAAUAGCCCAGGGAAACUUGGAGUAAUACCGUAUACGCCCGAAAGGGGAAAGAAUUUCGCUAUAGGAUGGGCCCGCGUAGGAUUAGCUAGUUGGUGAGGUAAUGGCUCACCAAGGCGACGAUCCUUAGCUGGUUUGAGAGAACGACCAGCCACACUGGGACUGAGACACGGCCCAGACUCCUACGGGAGGCAGCAGUGGGGAAUCUUAGACAAUGGGGGCAACCCUGAUCUAGCCAUGCCGCGUGAGUGAUGAAGGCCUUAGGGUUGUAAAGCUCUUUCAGCUGGGAAGAUAAUGACGGUACCAGCAGAAGAAGCCCCGGCUAACUCCGUGCCAGCAGCCGCGGUAAUACGGAGGGGGCUAGCGUUGUUCGGAAUUACUGGGCGUAAAGCGCACGUAGGCGG
rnacentral:rRNA from 1 species